AUUGAACGCUGGCGGCAGGCCUAACACAUGCAAGUCGAGCGAGCGGCGGACGGGUGAGUAAUGUAUGGGGAAUGCCCGAUAGAGGGGGAUAACUACUGGAAACGGUAGCUAAUACCGCAUCCUAUCGGAUAACCCAUAUGGGAUUGGCUAGUAGGUGAGGUAAUGGCUCACAUUGGCGACGAUCCCUAGCUGGUCUGAGAGGAUGAUCAGGCACACUGGGACGUGUACACGGCCCAGACUCCUACGGAGGCAGCAGUGGGGAAUUUUGGACAAUGGGGGAAACCCUGAUCGAGCCAUCCCGCGUGUAUGAUGAGGGCCUUCGGGUUGUAAAGUACUUUGGGCAGAGAAGCGGUAUCUGCAGAAUAAGCAACGGCUAACUACGUGCCAGCAGCCGCGGUAAUUC
rnacentral:rRNA from 1 species